GAUGAACGCUGGCGGCGUGCCUAAUACAUGCAAGUCGAGCGAACGGACGAGAAGCUUGCUUCUCUGAUGUUAGCGGCGGACGGGUGAGUAACACGUGGAUAACCUACCUAUAAGACUGGGAUAACUUCGGGAAACCGGAGCUAAUACCGGAUGAUAUUUUGAACCGCAUGGUUCAAAAGUGAAAGACGGUCUUGCUGUCACUUAUAGAUGGAUCCGCGCUGCAUUAGCUAGUUGGUAAGGUAACGGCUUACCAAGGCAACGAUGCAUAGCCGACCUGAGAGGGUGAUCGGCCCCACUGGAGCUGAGCCACGGUCCAGACUCCUACGGGAGGCAGCAGUAGGGACUCUUCCGCAAUGGGCGAAAGCCUGCCGGAGCAACGCCGCGUGAGUGAUGAAGGUCUUCGGAUCGUAAAACUCUGUUAUUAGGGAAGAACAUAUGUGUAAGUAACUGUGCACAUCUUGACGGUACCUAAUCAGAAAGCCACGGCUAACUACGUG
rnacentral:rRNA from 1 species